UGGUCUCUCCCACCUCUAAACCUUCUGAUUCUGACUAUGAAUUAAAAUUCAUUAAAUGCUGCCACCCACGAAGAGCUAUUUGCUGGUCUCUGGUUUUCUCUAAACCCACCCCCCUCUGUCUCCACAACAUAGCACCUUCUAGAACCACAGGGGCUCUGGACCAGUUCUGUAUCUCUUUUCUGAGAAAAUUUCUUAGAGAUACAGAGGAAAGGCAUUUUCAUAUUAAAGCGAGGGCACCAAAAUAGCUGAGGUGGCUGCCUUGUUCGUAAUAUUGGGAAAUGUAACAGUUGAACUGUAGCCUAAUAGCCUUUCAUGGGUAGGAAAAUGGCCAGAUCGGGCAUUAUGUACGUAACAAAUGAGGAAGUUGCACAUGUGAGAGGAAAUAUCAGCUUUCUCUUAUCCUUGGCCAAGUGCUUCAUUAUGGUAAAUGUGUGUCACUGGGCGUUGUCAGCUGGUCCCAAGCAAGUUCAAAAAAGGCUGUUUUGUGAAAAACAGGCAAGAGAAGGGGUUUCUUACAGACGUUUCUUGAGACUUGACUAAUAAAUAGACUGUGAGAUUGACCAAGUGGUUACAGAGGGGCCUCUUUUUAUUUUUUUAUUUUUUUUAACAGCUUGAAUUGGUAUAGUUUAAAGCAGCCAUGAGUGAAACAGGACAAAAAAGCCUAUCUGGGAGGCAGGGUUAAAAGAGAGUGAGAGAUGUAAAAGCUAAAACCAAAUGUGAAAGUUAAGUUUCCGGAGCAGUAACGGAGGGAUUGUUCUGUUGGGCCACAUCCUGAGCCGACUCAGCGCAGGUCCACUUGUGAGUCCCACUCUGUCUUCACCAUUCAGCUCAACACCUUGUCCGGUCACCUUUUUUUCAUGAAUCUUCCCAAAGAGCACAAAGAAUAGGGCUCUCCUGGACACCGAGGAGCAGAGUUCACUCAUCACCACCUCCGGCGUUAGGUAUCACUGUUUAUAUGAGGAUGCGCAGUGGGUUUACGGUACUCUGGACACUCUGUAAGGGGAGAGAGACCCGCCCACCCAACACCUCCCCAGUCCCAUCGAUCCUUCCUAGGCACAGCUUUUUGGAUGGUGCUCGUGAGUCCACCCGACAGCUACAUUCUUCCCAACACAACCCCCCCUGUGUAAUAUCUAGGCACGGUAAAAAUCUGCUUCUUGCAAUUGAAGAAAAUCCACGGAGCUAGCUUCCUGGCGUACCACAGCAACCCUCGCCACCCGUCAGGAGCCUCUUUUGAACUCCCUUUCCAUUUGCUCUCCUGGAGGUUGUAUAAAUCCUGUUCUUGGUUAGACGUCUCCUCAUUAACAGUGUUAUAUGCAUAUAAAUAUAUAUAUAAAAUAUAUUCCUUUUUUCCAGCCCUGUAGACAUGAACUGAUCUUCCCUUGACGAUAUAAAAACAUGGCCAUUUUCUGGUUCAGUUGAUUUGUCGCUCAAGUUACUUUAUUUUUGUUUAUUGGGUGGAUAUUUUUUCCCUGAAUACUAGCUCUGUGAAGGAAAGUAAAAAAGCGCAAUGUGUG
rnacentral:lncRNA from 1 species